AUGUCUGCCUGCGCCUAUCUCCCGGCCCGCUCUAAGAUAAGCUUCCCAGGGGCCGUGCCGCUCCUUUCCGCUGGGAUCCAGCGCCACAAGAACCCCUUUUCCUGUGUCCGAAGCUUCUUCCCAACCUGUUCUCGGCCGCCCGGGGACCCCGCGGCUCUCCCGGAGCCGCGGGACCCACCAGGGGCGGCCCGGCAGCCCCGCCCCGCGCCCCCCACUCCCCUCCGCCAAUGGGAGAGCCGCUUACUCGUCGGGCGCGCGCCCGCCCGCCAAUGGGCGGCACCGUUGUUGGGUUUGCGGGCUGUGGAAGCCGCACCCUGUCGGGCGGGGGCCGCUCGGUGCCUGAGGGGGCGGCGGGAGCGGCGGGGGGCGGGGACCGAGACAGCGACAGCCUCGUUAGGGGACCGGCCGCGGCGGCCCCUUCGCUCCCGCCUGUUCUCGUCUGUCCUCGGACCUUUAAUCAGAACUGGACACCUUCCUAAAUAAUUCUGUUAUUAGUUACUGGUAUGAAGACAUGUUGUGAUACCAAAUAUAUAUUUUACGGUAGAAGAAAAAGGUGAGGUAAUUCAGUCUGGAAUGUUGUAAUUGCUACUUUGUUUCUUGUACUACAGUUUUUGCUUGUUUAAUUUAGUCCUUAAUUAGAUGUGUUUAUCAUUAAUGAAUAGGAUGAAUUCAGUUAAUUUGAUUGAAACUCAAAUCUAAAUUUAUUCUUUCAAGGAUUUGAUGAUCUGAGAGAGUAAUCUGGUAGUUUUCCCCUCCCUCCUCUCUGUUGCUAUAGUAAUCCUAAAUUUGAACCUUGUUUCUGCAGACCUUUUUUUUCCCCCCUUCAAGUGAGUUUUGUAAUAGCUGUGCAGUUUGUUCUCAAGCCAAAAUAUUGAUAAUACGGGUUUUCUUGUAGCUUUAUUUUUUUUCAUUUGGCUGUAUCAUUUGAGAUGAAGUUGAAAUUAAACAGCUUUAAUUUGCCUUUUCUUUUUCUAGCUCUGGAGAGGCUUUGUGGCAUUAAUUUUUUUAUUCAUGUUUUAGACAAACAUUGUUUAGGGAAAAACAAGAAAAAAAGGCUCAAUUAAAGCAAAAAAAAAAGACGUAAAUGUGUCUGAGUGUCAUGGAAAGCUGUGUGUAAUUGUAAUUGCAGAAGUGAACAUUCAAAUUGCAAAGUCCAUAAGUAGUUUAGCAUCCAAAUGUUCUUGCAAUUCCAGUUUUACAGCAGUGUUCAGGGCUUAUUUGAUGAGGUGCUUUCGGCUACUUCUGGCAUGGCUGAACUUCUGAUACAGCAAUAAAUGCAGGUAAUUCUGGCAGCUGUAUAAAAUAUUUAUGCUCUUACUAAACUUU
rnacentral:lncRNA from 13 species